GACGAACGCUGGCGGCGUGCCUAAUACAUGCAAGUAGAACGCAGUCGCGAACGGGUGAGUAACGCGUAGGUCACUGCCUGGUAGCGGGGGAUAACUAUUGGAAACGAUAGCUAAUACUGCAUACUACAAGAUGGACCUGCGUUGUAUUAGCUAAUUGGUGCGGUAACGGCUCACCCAGGCAACGAUACAUAGCCGACCUGGGAGGGUGGACGGCCACACUGGGACUGAGAAAAGGCCCAAACUCCUACGGGAGGCAGCAGUAGGGAAACUUCGGCAAUGGGGGGAACCCUGACCGAGCAACGCCGCGUGAGUGAAGAAGGGUUUCGGGUCGUAAAGCUCUGUUGUUAAGGAAGCGGUACUUAACCAGAAAGGGACGGCUAACUACGUGCCAGCAGCCGCGGUAAUAC
rnacentral:rRNA from 1 species